rnacentral:misc_RNA from 1 species
AACGCACAUUGCGCCCCUUGGUAUUCCAUGGGGCAUGCCUGUUCGAGCGUCAUUUGUACUCUCAAGCUCUGCUUGGUGUUGGGUGUUUGUCUUUGCUUUGCUUAGACUCGCCUUAAAUAUAUUGGCAGCCGGUAUACUGGUUUGAAGCGCAGCACAAUUGCAUUUCUAGCUUGUUAUUACUAGUACCCAUUAAGAAAAUUAACACUUUUGACCUCGGAUCAGGUAGGGAUACCCGCUGAACUUAA